rnacentral:rRNA from 1 species
UCCAACGCGUUGGGAGCUCUCCCUAUGGUCGACCUGCAGGCGGCCGCGAAUUCACUAGUGAUUCGUAUUACCGCGGCUGCUGGCACAGAGUUAGCCGGUGCUUAUUCUGCGGGUACCGUCAUAGCAACGAGUUAUUCGCUCGUUACCUUUCUUCCCCACCUAAAGUGCUUUACAACCCGAAGGCCUUCUUCACACACGCGGCAUCGCUGGAUCAGGGUUUCCCCCAUUGUCCAAGAUUCCCCACUGCUGCCUCCCGUAGGAGUCUGGGCCGUGUCUCAGUCCCAGUGUGGCUGGUCAUCCUCUCAGACCAGCUACGGAUCGUCGCCUUGGUAGGCUUUUACCCCACCAACUAGCUAAUCCGACGUAGGCUCACCCCAGAGCGCAAGGCCUUUCGGUCCCCUGCUUUUGAUCUCUCGAUAUCACGUGGUAUUAGCCCGAGUUUCCUCGGGUUAUCCCACGCUCCAGGACAGAUUCCUACGUGUUACUCACCCGUCCGCCACUCGCCACCCCAUAAAGACCGAAAUCUUUACUGUGCUGCCGUUCGACUUGCAUGUGUUAGGCAUGCCGCCAGCGUUCAAUCUGAGCCAUGAUCAAACUCUAAUCGAAUUCCCGCGGCCG